rnacentral:rRNA from 1 species
UACGUAGGGUGCAAGCGUUGUCCGGAAUUAUUGGGCGUAAAGAGCUCGUAGGCGGUCUGUCACGUCGGCUGUGAAAACCCGAGGCUCAACCUCGGGCCUGCAGUCGAUACGGGCAGACUAGAGUUCGGUAGGGGAGACUGGAAUUCCUGGUGUAGCGGUGAAAUGCGCAGAUAUCAGGAAGAACACCCGUGGCUAAGGCGGCUCUCUAGUACGGUACUGACGCUGAGACGCGAAAGCGUGGGGAGCAAACAG